rfam:Lentisphaera araneosa HTCC2155 1101329224571, whole genome shotgun sequence.
CCUAGCUCUCACGAGCCAGGCUGAACUAUACCGUACUCUCGGUACU